ACGGAGAAGGAAUGCCGGAUGUAUUGUGCUGUCAAUGGUGGUCGAGCACCGACUGCCGGAGAUCAAGCCGGAACAUCCCAUAUAUAGUAACGUGCUGCUAACUAAAAGCGUCUGCCGUCGCGAUGCUUCCACAUAAAUAUCGGAUGUGCUGCUCUGCAACAAAUGAAAAGAUCGAGAAACUAUAGAUGGUGUAGGCUACAUCUGCAGGACCAAAUUAAGCCAUCAAGAUAAUAUAAAUGAUUAACAAAUUAAGCAAGUUAAGCAACGAUAACCCAGUUGGGUUAAAUAUAUGAUUCAUGCAUGCUGAAAUAAAAUGUAUACCACCCUGAA